rnacentral:rRNA from 1 species
GACGAACGCUGGCGGCGUGCUUAACACAUGCAAGUCGAACGGAAAGGCCCUGCUUUUGUGGGGUGCUCGAGUGGCGAACGGGUGAGUAACACGUGAGUAACCUGCCCUUGACUUUGGGAUAACUUCAGGAAACUGGGGCUAAUACCGGAUAGGAGCUCCUGCUGCAUGGUGGGGGUUGGAAAGUUUCGGCGGUUGGGGAUGGACUCGCGGCUUAUCAGCUUGUUGGUGGGGUAGUGGCUUACCAAGGCUUUGACGGGUAGCCGGCCUGAGAGGGUGACCGGCCACAUUGGGACUGAGAUACGGCCCAGAAUCCUACGGGAGGCAGCAGUGGGGAAUAUUGCACAAUGGGCGGAAGCCUAAUGCAGCAACGCCGCGUGCGGGAUGACGGCCUUCGGGUUGUAAACCGCUUUCGCCUGUGACGAAGCGUGAGUGACGGUAAUGGGUAAAGAAGCACCGGCUAACUACGUG